ensembl:lncRNA LINC01445 long intergenic non-protein coding RNA 1445
CCUCCAGCACCCCUACUGCAAGGAUUUUAAGAACUCUAUCUCAGGAUAAAGACCUGAGGGUCACAAGAUGUACAUUGCUGGCCUCAGCUGGAUUUUCCCAGGGUCAGGUGCCCAUUCCUACCUAAUCAAAGGACACUUCUGCUGACCUGCACCUAGAAUACCCUGUUCUGUGCUGAUGACUCAGAUGUAAGAAUGAUGAAGUGCAUCGGCUGGCAUGCAGAGAACAAUAAGAAAAAGAACUGAGUUGUGGGAAGACAUGAGGAAAGGACAUGAGGCUCUUAAUAACAGCUGCCAAGUACUGCAGUCGGGAAUCUGGAGCAAAGUGAUUCAAUUCUGACCACUGCCUGAGGGAGUAAGUCUAGCAGGGAGGCAGGCUUGGUCUCCCAGUUGCUGAAACACAAAAUAUUGAGGUUACAGCUUAUGGUGAAAAUUGGAUGCAGAUAGCAGAAGAGAACUCAAAGAAUAUCACCAAUACAGAAAGCCAAUAGUGUUUACCCUUCUGGGCUGUUGUCAGGAUGUCUGGUUAAGUGAAGCUUGUGUCCUCUGGACUGUGGACCACGGAAGACAGGAAGACCUGUGAGUUGCAAAUAAAAUCCUUGUCCCCCACCCAUUGAAUGGGCUCCCUCUUGACCAAAGGGAUCCCAUAGAAACCUUAAAAUGAGUUCCCAGCCAUGAUGGGAAGGGAGGUUGGAUACAGCUCAUUAUAACACCCCCUUAUGGAGUUUAGACAAAACUGCCCAGAAUUAAUGUUAAAAUAGAUAUUAUAAGACCAAUUGAAUGGAUUUCAUGUGACAAUAAGAUACCAGAUUAUAACCAAGAUGUAAGGUGAUGCCAGACCAGGGUAAGUCCUGCCUGCAGGCCAUCAGUCUGGCUAAACAAGGCAUUUUGACCCAGCAUCUUGUGGCUGACUCUGACUUAAGAUCCUAAUCUUAGAUAUUCCUUUCUGCUGACAGCAAGUUUUAGAGAGAGUCUUACUCCUUUAACCAGCUGAAAAUUAAAGAAUUUUUGAAUCCAAUUAUAACCUGUAAGCUUCCACUUUAAGGUAUCCUACCUUUUUAGGCCGAGCCAAUGUAUACAUUCUACAUACUGACUUACGUCACUCCUGCUUCCCUGAAAUGUAUAAAACCAAACUGUAAUCUGACCACCAUAUUUUAAAUAGUGUAUUUAAAAGAGGUUUAAAAUAAACUUUUCUAAAA